UAGGGAAUCUUCCGCAAUGGACGCAAGUCUGACGGAGCAACGCCGCGUGAGUGAAGAAGGAUUUCGGUUCGUAAAACUCUGUUGUUAGAGAAGAACAGCGCAUAGAGUAACUGUUAUGCGUGUGACGGUAUCUAACCAGAAAGCCACGGCUAACUACGUGCCAGCAGCCGCGGUAAUACGUAGGUGGCAAGCGUUGUCCGGAUUUAUUGGGCGUAAAGCGAGCGCAGGCGGUCAAUUAAGUCGGAUGUGAAAGCCCCCGGCUCAACCGGGGAGGGUCAUUGGAAACUGGUUGACUUGAGUGCAGAAGAGGAGAGUGGAAUUCCAUGUGUAGCGGUGAAAUGCGUAGAUAUAUGGAGGAACACCAGUGGCGAAGGCGACUCUCUGGUCUGUAACUGACGCUGAGGUUCGAAAGCGUGGGUAGCAAACAGG
rnacentral:rRNA from 1 species